GUUGUUAAUGGGAAUGUAGAAAUUAUGUUUUGUUGGGUUAGAUGGAUAUAACAGAGAAAUUAGUUUUUGAACGGGGAUCGUCUAAGAAACGAGUAGUCGUCUUUUGUUCGUUGGCGGUUAAGAAAGAAAAGAAAAGAAAAAGAAAUACAUCAUAUUAUUAGGAAAGGUUUAAUCCUGUCCAACGCGCGAUCGCAUGUUUGGUAAAUAUGAAUAUGAAUGUUAUCCAGGAAAAUUGAAUUGAAGAAAGUGAGCGUCUUGGUGGUGAGGUGAGGAAUUCAAAGAUGGAGAUGAUGAUGAAAGUAUCAAAAUUCAAGCUCAAACUCCAAACCCUUAUCACACUACUACUUGAAAAACAACAACAACUUGAUACUCAUUUCCAGCCGAAGAAGAAGCAGAAGCAAAGCCAUGAUGAUGACGACAAUGCCGAUUACAAUGAUGAUCAAGAAGAAGAAGAAGAAGAAUUACGAAGAAAGAUUAAACAUUUGGAAGCUGAGUUAUCAUCAUCCACACACCUUCACCAACAACUCCAACGCAAGGUGCGGUUGCUUGAAGAUGACAAUUAUUUGCUUCAAACCAAACAUAAACAACUCACCGAUACGAUAACCACCAUUCUUCAAGCUAAAGAAUCCUUUCUCAAUGCUUACCAGGAAUCUACUUGUGAACUGAAAAGAUCCAUUGAAUCCAAAGAUAAAAAGAUUGCCAUGCUUUACGAGAAGAUAAAUUCCCACUUAUUAUCAAUCGACUCGAUAAGAAGAAAGGCAUACUUUGUCAACCAACUAGUGGACAAUGCACAAAGUGUUGUCAAUGAGAAAGAGGAAAUCGGAGCUCGUUUAAAGAUAGAGAUGGACAAAGUAUGUGCAUUUGAGAAGUUAUUUAUUGAAAAAAUCGGUGACCUUGAAACUAAACUGAAAAAUAAUGAGAUCGAGUUCCAAAGAAAGGACAGGGUGAUUGCAGAACUCCAGGCACAACUGGAGAUGGGAAAAAUAACUGAUCAAUGCCAAUUAAAGAUUGAAGAGCUUCAGGAAACUGUUCAAGUGAAGGAAGGGAUCAUUCAGACUUUGAUUUCAGAGAACAAAGCCCUGCGCUCUGAACUAGGGAUGUUGGAAGUUACUUUUAAGGCCAUUCAGGACACUUUGUCACGUAUGGAUGAAGAGGAUAGAGUUUCUUUCUCUAUAGUACUGGCAAACCAAGAGAAAGAUGCAACAGAGAAGGACAAAGAAGACGACAGUAGGAUUUAUCAUGAUAUCCAGCAUUGUGAAGCAAGUUCUCAUCAGGAGGCUUCUCGAGGAAUUGUUGACAAAAUUGAAGCCUCACCAUCAUUUAAGGAACAUGAUCAUAUUGCUGGUCCCUUGACAGAGAAUAAUAAUGUCAACUCUUGUGUGUCAGAGUCCGGUUUCCCCCCUCCAAGCUCAGUUCACUCGGAAUCUCAGCUUGCUGCUAAUGCUCCAAGUGCAAUUGCUGUCGAAGAAAAGGGAUGAAAACCUUGGCGCUGAAGCUAAAGAAAAUAUAAGUUAAUCAAGUAAACAGAGAUGACUCCGACAUGUAUAUACAACAGUUAGAUUCAGAAUGCUCAACUACACAAGCAUGAAAGGUUUUCAACAUACAUACAUGGAACUUCCGGGUUAUUGUUGUUUGGAGUAAUUGUCACUCUUCAUGAUAUAAGCACUAAGCUACAGAAGAAAGGAAGAAAAUUGAAGCUUUAGUGACUUGAGGGUAUGCGGUUAAUAUUCAAAUACAUGGUACUCUUAGUUUCAUGUCAAACAGCUGAUUAAAAUGUGAGAUAUAGAAUGGUUUUGGACAAAAAGCGUCAAGUACAAUUUGCAAUUAUAUUGCAAAAAUCAGUCCAAAUACGACUCAACGAUUUUAUCAGUUAUUAAUAGAAACUAAAUCUUAAAGGGA